AUGACCGUAUUGACAGCAGUAACCGUAUUGACAGCAGUGACCGUAUUGNNNNNNNNNNACCGUAUUGACAGCAGUGACCGUAUUGACAGCAGUGACAGUAGUAACUCCUAUUCUAUUAUAAAAGGCAAAAACAUAAUAAGCAACUUAAACAUAAACCAUACAUGCGAUAUUAUGUCUACUAUGAGCAAAUUAAACAUUCAUGAUAGAAUAAUCUAUGGACAAUGCAUAAAAAAUAUAAAAAACAAAAUUUUAAAAAUAGAUUCGAAAUGUUUAUCUAUAUAUCUAUUAUAUGUAAGUAAAUUUAAUUUGAUGUUGGAUAGAUACAUUAUAAAAGUUAUAUCGACUUGUUUUAAGUUAGUUAAUUAUGACAGUAGGAGGACUACUGAAGAAUAUAAAAAAAAUGGUGCAACAAUGGAACUUAUCACAACUAAAAGAACGUCAACAAAAGUCACAAACACAACCCAUAUUUUUAACAAAAAUGCACAAUCUGUUUUGUGCUUACAAACAAAUGAUAUUAUAAAUUGCGUAUAUAUAAUUAGGUGCCUAAUUAAAAACGAUUUUAAUUAUAAAAAUGAUUUUUUCAUUUUUUUUUAUUACUUAAAAAACAUAUGUAAUAUUUUAAAAAAAAGUGAAAAGAAUUUAAAAAAAACGGAACAGUUUGUUAUUAGUGAUACAUAUAUCGGAAACAAAUCUGACGACAGUAAACAUUCUGAAAACAUACAACUUAUCAAAGAAAAAAAAAACCACAAUAACAAUGUUAUAAAAAUAAAUGAUUUUCAUAAUGACAUGUUGUUCAGACCCUUUCGUCAAAAUUUAAACUUUCAAAGUUCCUGUAUCUUAAUUAACAGCUUAUGUUUUUUAAAUACACAUUUGCAAGAACAUAAUAACAAAAUAUAUGUAAAUAAUUUUAUGUUUUUAUUGUUAUAUACAUUUAAAUAUGUAUACAAACAAUUAACUUUGAAAAAAACAUUAGAUUUUUUUUUAUAUCAAAUAAAUAAUGAU
rnacentral:lncRNA from 1 species